AGAGUUUGAUCAUGGCUCAGAACGAACGCUGGCGGCGUGCCUAACACAUGCAAGUCGAGCGAGAAAGGGGUAGCAAUACCCCGAGUAAAGCGGCGCACGGGUGAGUAACACGUAGGUAACCUACCUCUAAGACCGGGAUAACCCGUCGAAGGAUGGGCUAAUACCAGAUAAGACCACAGUCUCUUCGGAGAUCGGGGUCAAAGGUGGCCUCUGCAUGCAAGCUAUCACUUAGAGAUGGGCCUGCGCACCAUUAGCUAGUUGGUAGGGUAACGGCCUACCAAGGCAAAGAUGGUUAGCUGGUCUGAGAGGAUGACCAGCCACACUGGAACUGAGACACGGUCCAGACUCCUACGGGAGGCAGCAGUGGGGAAUCUUGCGCAAUGGGCGAAAGCCUGACGCAGCAACACCGUGUGGGUGAUGAAGGCCUUCGGGUCGUAAAGCCCUGUCGGAGGGAACGAAUGUCCCUGGGGUGAACAAUCCCAGGGAGUGACGGUACCCUCAAAGGAAGCACCGGCUAACUCCGUGCCAGCAGCCGCGGUAACACGGAGGGUGCGAGCGUUGUUCGGAAUCAUUGGGCGUAAAGGGCGUGUAGGUGGUCUGUUAAGUCAUGUGUGAAAGCCCUCAGCUCAACUGGGGAAGUGCGCAUGAAACUGACAGGCUAGAGUACCGAAGAGGAAGGUGGAAUUCCCGGUGUAGCGGUGAAAUGCGUAGAUAUCGGGAGGAACACCGGUGGCGAAGGCGGCCUUCUGGUCGGAUACUGACGCUAAAACGCGAAAGCGUGGGGAGCAAACAGGAUUAGAUACCCUAGUAGUCC
rnacentral:rRNA from 1 species